CAAUAGCGUAUAUUAAAGUUGUUGCAGUUAAAAAGCUCGUAGUUGAAUUUUUGCUUGCCGCCGAUGUCGGAACUUCCGUACGUUCGGCGGCGUGCAUCCUUGGGUGGAACCUGUGUGGCAUUAGGUUGUCGUGCAGGGGAUGCUCAUCGUUUACUGUGAAAAAAUUAGAGUGUUCAAAGCAGGCUUAUGCCGUUGAAUAUAUUAGCAUGGAAUAAUAAGAUAGGACCUUGGUACUAUUUUGUUGGUUUGCGCACCGAGGUAAUGAUUAACAGGGACAGCUGGGGGUAUUCGUAUUCCAUUGUCAGAGGUGAAAUUCUUGGAUUUCUGGAAGACGAACUACUGCGAAAGCAUUUACCAAGGAUGUUUUCAUUAA
rnacentral:rRNA from 1 species